rnacentral:ncRNA from 1 species
CUCCCUCCUAAUGACAGGCCGAAACGGCCGGGCGGCGUCCGCGCCGCAGCAGACAGGACAUCACCGCGUCUGUGGGACUCAU